GUAAGACCGAUGACUGGGACUAAGUCGUAACAAGGUAGCUGUAGGUGAACCUGCAGAAGGAUCA
rnacentral:rRNA from 1 species